CCUACGGGAGGCAGCAGUGGGGAAUCUUGCGCAAUGGGCGAAAGCCUGACGCAGCAACGCCGCGUGCGGGAAGAAGGCUUUCGGGCUGUAAACCGCUUUCAGCAGGAACGAAAAUGACGGUACCUGCAGAAGAAGGAGCGGCCAACUAUGUGCCAGCAGCCGCGGUGAUACAUAGGCUUCAAGCGUUGUCCGGAUUUAUUGGGCGUAAAGAGUUCGUAGGCGGUCGAGUAAGUCGGGUGUGAAAAUUCUGGGCUCAACCCAGAGACGCCACCCGAUACUGCUUGACUUGAGUUCGAUAGGGGAGUGGGGAAUUCCUAGUGUAGCGGUGAAAUGCGCAGAUAUUAGGAGGAACACCGGUGGCGAAGGCGCCACUCUGGAUCGAUACUGACGCUGAGGAACGAAAGCAUGGGUAACAAACAGGAUUAGAUACCCUGGUAGUCCAUGCCGUAAACGGUGGGCACUAGGUGUGGGUUUCUAUUAACGAAAUCCGCGCCGUCGCUAACGCAUUAAGUGCCCCGCCUGGGGUGUACGGUCGCGAGACGUAAACGUAAAUAGAGUAGUAAGGUGUGAGAGUGCGACGGACGACGACGAGGGAGGAGG
rnacentral:rRNA from 1 species